rnacentral:rRNA from 1 species
GACGAACGCUGGCGGCGUGCCUAAUACAUGCAAGUCGAGCGCAGGAAACUGACGGAACUCUUCGGAGGGAAGGCAGUGGAAUGAGCGGCGGACGGGUGAGUAACACGUAAGGAACCUGCCUCAAGGAUUGGGAUAACUCCGAGAAAUCGGAGCUAAUACCGGAUAGUUCAACGGACCGCAUGGUCCGCUGAUGAAAGGCGCUCCGGCGUCACCUUGAGAUGGCCUUGCGGUGCAUUAGCUAGUUGGUGGGGUAACGGACCACCAAGGCGACGAUGCAUAGCCGACCUGAGAGGGUGAUCGGCCACACUGGGACUGAGACACGGCCCAGACUCCUACGGGAGGCAGCAGUAGGGAAUCUUCCACAAUGGACGAAAGUCUGAUGGAGCAACGCCGCGUGAGUGAUGAAGGUUUUCGGAUCGUAAAACUCUGUUGUAAGGGAAGAACACGUACGAGAGGGAAUGCUCGUACCUUGACGGUACCUUACGAGAAAGCCACGGCUAACUACGUGCCAGCCGCCGCGGUAAAAC